GAUGAACGCUAGCGGCAGGCCUAAUACAUGCAAGUCGAGGGAGAAUGUUGGAUUCGUCUGACAUGAAACCGGCGCACGGGUGCGUAACACGUAUGCAACCUACCUUUAACUGGGGCAUAGCUCAGAGAAAUCUGAAUUAAUCCCCCAUAAGACUACGACAUGGCAUCAUGAUGUAGUUAAAGCUCCGGCGGUUAAGGAUGGGCAUGCGGUACAUUAGCUAGUUGGUGAGGUAAUGGCUCACCAAGGCUACGAUGUAUAGGGGGUCUGAGAGGAUGAUCCCCCAAACUGGUACUGAGACACGGACCAGACUCCUACGGGAGGCAGCAGUAGGGAAUAUUGGUCAAUGGACGCAAGUCUGAACCAGCCAUGCCGCGUGAAGGAUGAAGGCCCUAUGGGUCGUAAACUUCUUUUAUUAGGGAAGAAAAAACGGGAUGCGUCCUGUACUGACGGUACUUAAUGAAUAAGGAUCGGCUAACUUCGUGCCAGCAGCCGCGGUAA
rnacentral:rRNA from 1 species